GUUUCAGAUGAGUUUACCUGUAAUUCAGGUACAUUUCCGCCUCAUGCGCGUUCUGCCACAGUCAAAACAACUAGGAACUCCGAGAUCCGACCUCAAGACCAUUGACGUCAUGAUUUGACAUCGUUUUUUCCGGGUUCCCAGUUGUUUUGAAAACACAAUUGAUACAGGAAAAUGACCAGGGAAAAGUUUGAAGAACAACCCAACCUAAACCAAAAGAACACUAACACUCACCUUUUUAAAGAAUGACCAAUAUCUCCAGCAGUAGGUAAAUCCAAGUUUGAGCAAUGGUCGGCUUCCGCACCUGAAAUAUUGGAUUAGUGAUGUUUUCAGAGCUGCGAGGUCAAACCCCGCCUCUGGAGCACUGUAUUUACUGCAACCGACUGUGCUGUACUCUACUGAGACACGUUUGCAUAGGAAGCAAUCCCAACUGCCUGCGAGUGAAGGGAGGAGUUUCACGGUACUUUUCACCGUCAAUCAAGCAGAAGAUUCCUGCAACAAAAGAGAAUCAUGAAUGGAAAAAGGCAGUUGAAAGGUGUGAAGUUAGAAUGAGUGUUGAGGGGGAGCAGGCAUAGUAUCUGAAAAUGUAUCGUAUUGUCAAAUACAAAAUACACAAAAAUACAAGAGCCCUCUUGAAGAGGGAAUCAAGAAAUCUUCACAUCCAAAUUGGGGUACACACACACACACACACACAAAAUCAAUGUUUCAUAUGUGUGUAUUUACCAACCAUCCCUCUCUCUCACACACACAAUGUUGACAUAACAAUGUUUUCUAAAGUUAUUGUGAUCAUCUCUCUUUCUUCUACCUCUCCCUCUCACACACACACACACACACACACAGAUAGAAUACACACACAUUUACUGUCAUUAACUAAACCUAUAUCAAAAAGCUAGCUAGCUACAACAAAUGGCUUCAACAGCUAAAUAUAUAUACAGUUGAAGUCAGAAGUUUACAUACACCUUAGCCAAAUACAUUUUAACUCCGUUUUUCACAAUUCCUGACAUUUAAUCAGAGUACAAAUUCCCUGUCUUAGGUUAGUUAGGAUCACUACUUUAUUUAAAAAAUGUGAAAUAUCAGAAUAAUAGGAGAGAGAAUGAUUUAUUUCAGCUUUUAUUUAUUUCAUCACAUUCCCAGUGGGUCAGAAGUUUACAUACACUCAAUUAGUAUUUGUUAGCAUUGCCUUUACAUUGUUUAACUCUGGUCAAAUGUUUCGGGUAGCCUUCCACAAGCUUCCCACAAUAAGUUGGGUGAAUUUUGGCCCAUUCCUCCUGACAGAGCUGAUAUAACUGAGUCAGGUUUGUAGGCCUCCUUGCUCGCACACGCUUUUUCAGUUCUGCCCACACAUUUUCUAUAGGAUUGAGGUCAGGGCUUUGUGAUGGCCACUCCAAUACAUUGACUUUGUUGUCCUUAAGUCACUUUGCCACAACUUUGGAAGUAUGCUUGGGGUCAUUUGCGACCAAGCUUUAACUUUCUGACUGAUGUCUUGAGAUGUUGCUUCAAUAUAUCCACAUAAUUUUACUUCCUCAUGAUGCCACCUAUUCUGUGAAGUGCACUAGUCCCUCCUGCAGCAAAGCACCCCCACAACAUGAUGCUGCCACCCCCAUGCUUCACGGUUGGGAUGGUGUUCUUUGGCUUGCAAGCAUGACCCUUUCCCUCCAAACAUAACGAUGGUCAUUAUGGCCAAACAGUUCUAUUUUUGUUUCAUCAGACCAGAGGACAUUUCUCCAACAAGUACGAUCUUUGUCCCCAUGUGCAGUUGCAAACUGUAGUCUGGCUUUUUUAUGGCGGUUUUGGAGCAGUGGCUUCUUCCUUGCUGAGCAGCCUUUCAGGUUAUGUCGAUAUAUAGGACUCGUUUUACUGUGGAUAUAGAUACUUUUGUACCUGUUUCCUCCAGCUUCUUCACAAGGUCCUUUUCUGCGGUUCUGGUAUUGCACCAAAGUACAUUCAUCUCUCGGAGACAGAACGUGUCUCCUUCCUGAGCGGUAUGACGGCUGUGUGGUCCCAUGGUGUUUAUACUUGCGUACUAUUGUUUGUGCAGAUGAAUGUGGUACUUUCAGGUGUUUGGAAAUUGCUCCCAUAGAUGAACCAGGCUUGUGGGGGUCUACAUUUUUUUUUCUGAGGUCGAGUUUUAAUGACUCCAACCUAAGUGUAUGUAAACUUCUGAUUUCAACUGUAUAUAUAUGUUUUUCCUUUCGUGAAUUAACUCACACUUUUUCCCCCUUACUAGCUCUGACUUUGUUGAUAGCUACUUUAUUGAGGACAAUUGUGACUGUGAUAUGGUGUUGUCCCACCUAGCUAUCGUAAGAUGAAUGCACUAACUGUAAGUCAGUCUGGAUAAGAGUGUCUGCUAAAUGACUCAAAUGUAGUGCCGAGUCUCAAACGGAAUAGGCCUGAGCACACCGUGUUCAUUGGGUACCAUAUGCCUUGAGACCCUUACCCACUUUGGUGCACUCUGCCAGCUGUUGUUUGCCAACUGUGCUAAACUGAGUCAUGCAAACCCUGCUGAAAAAAACCACUCACAUUUUAAUCAUUAUAAUGGUUCUAUAGUGUCUUACAUCCACUGGGUGCAUGGCCCACAAACACUAUGCACAUUUUUUAUGUAGGCUGGUGUCUAUUAAUUGGUGUCAUGAAAAAAUGUCUUAAUCUGGUUGUGAUCUGGUUAUAAGGCGUCUCGACCAAAUUCUAACCAGAAAAAUAUGUCUUCAUCACAUUGUAUGCCCACUGGGAUAUGCCUUUACUAAUGUGGUUUCAAGUCGGUUACCAUACUGGUUUCAGGUGUGGAAAAGAGUCAUAUGCAUUUUUAUAUUAUUUAUACAGGCUGAUAGCCUACUGCUUAUAAGCUACACACAGCCUACGGACGCCAGCAAUGUGGCAACUAUUAGGCCUACAACACUGCUUGACGAUUAUGAAGAACUGAAAUCAGUUGUACAACAAUGUGAUAUAGGACUCCUGUUACCCAAACACCAUCUGCCCAAUCCUGUUAUAUAAAGGAAGCAAUGGAAUACAAUUAAAGCAUUUUUUUUGAGUGCAAGUAUUGUGCAUUCUAUUAUUGUAUUAUAUUCUUUAGUAUAGGUUACUUUGCCACACUUCUGUAUUUUACUAGUAGCCUUUAACAGUGCUUGUUCACACUAUGCAGAUGUGUCUGUGUCACGUCCUGACCUUAGUUCCUUUUUUAUGUCUCUAUUUUAGUUUGGUCAGGGCGUGAGUUGGGGUGGGCAUUCUAUGUGUUAUAGUUCUAUGUUUGGCCUGGUAUGGUUCCCAAUCAGAGGCUGCUGUCAAUCGUUGUCUCUGAUUGAGAACCAUACUUAGGCAGCCUGUUUUCCCACUAUGGUUUGUGGGUAGUUGUUUUCUGUGUCUGUGUUUCACCGUACAGAACUGUUUCCAUUUUCAUUGGUUCACUUUGGUUAUUUUGUAUUCAGUGUUCAGUUAUAUUUCAUUAAAAUGGACACUUACGAUGCUG
ensembl:lncRNA